UUUUUUGUGGUCCAAUGGUUAGAAUUCUCUUUAAAAAGUGGUUAGGAUUCUCCAAUUUCACUGGAGUGGCCAGGGUUCAAUUCCUUAGAAAGGGAG